GUCUCUUUGGAGACAUUUGAUAAAAUUAGAACGAUACAGAGAAGAUUAGCAUGGCCCUUUCCCUUGCACAUAUGCCCCGGAAACACUCUUUUU
rnacentral:snRNA from 2 species